rnacentral:rRNA from 1 species
GAUGAACGCUGGCGGCGUGCCUAAUACAUGCAAGUCGAGCGAACGGACGAGAAGCUUGCUUUUCUGAUGUUAGCGGCGGACGGGUGAGUAACACGUGGAUAACCUACCUAUAAGACUGGGAUAACUUCGGGAAACCGGAGCUAAUACCGGAUAAUAUUUUGAACCGCAUGGUUCAAAAGUGAAAGACGGUCUUGCUGUCACUUAUAGAUGGAUCCGCGCUGCAUUAGCUAGUUGGUAAGGUAACGGCUUACCAAGGCAACGAUGCAUAGCCGACCUGAGAGGAUGAUCGGCCACACUGGAACUGAGACACGGUCCAGACUCCUACGGGAGGCGGCAGUAGGGAAUCUUCCGCAAUGGGCGAAAGCCUGACGGAGCAACGCCGCGUGAGUGAUGAAGGUCUUCGGAUCGUAAAACUCUGUUAUUAGGGAAGAACAUAUGUGUAAGUAUCUGUGCACAUCUUGACGGUACCUAAUCAGAAAGCCACGGCUAACUACGUG